UUACUGGAGCAAUCUAGGUAAAGUACCUUGCUCAAGGGUACAGCAGCAGUGUCCCCACCAGGGAUUGAACCCACGACCCUCCGGUCAAGAGUCCAGAGCCCUAACCACUACUCCACACUGCUGCCCCGCUACUCCACACUGCUACUUGUUUUCAGCUCUUCAACAGUUGCAGUUUAAGCUACUUAAAUGUUACAGCUAACUUGAAAUAUGCAACUGUUCAAGAGCUGAAAACAAGUAAAAAGGUCUAAUUAAGCAAAUUAUUAGUUCAAUUAAGGCUAUAGUUAAGUAAUUGAGAGCUCGGUUGGAAUGAAAACCAAGCAGCCACGGGGGGUUUGAGAAAGUUUGAGAAAAAGGAAAACUGCUGUGUACCAAAAUGAUCAAUAAGAAAAAAGAAAAAAGAGAAAAGGAUAUUUCAGGUACUUAAAAAGGUAGAAUAAUUGAUUACAAAUCAAUUAUCAGGACGUUUCACACAACAGGUCCUUCAUCGGCUGAAUACAAAAAAACAGUGCUAUAGCAUUGAACCAUCCCACAAAUUGUGAUGUCUUCUAUAGUGUGGUCAUUUCUGUUAAAAUGUCUGGCGACAGGAAAGGCAGAGGUGUUAAUUUGUAUACUUCUCAGAUGUUCCACGAAGCGAUCAGCCAAGCAUUGUUUUGUUUCACCAAUAUAUAGCUUGUUACAUUUGAUGCAGCCAAUGCAAUAUACUAUUCCUUUACUAAUGCAAGUAAAAGCAUCAUGGAUAGUAAAUGAGGAUUUUGCUCCCUUAACUACUGUGUUGCUGUGAAUGUAUGUACAAGUAGCACAGCUUGACCUAUUGCAUGGAAACGUACCCUUAAGACUGUCCAGAUUGGGUCGAAUGUUACUGUGGACCAGAUGCUCUCUUAGAUUUUUGUCUCUUCUGUAUGACAUUAGAGGAGGGUUAUUGAAAAUAGGAGCUGUAGAAGGAUCAUCUUGAAGAAUGCUAACAUUUCUCUGUAUGAUGUGUUGUAUUUUUUGGUCAUAGGAUGAUAAGUAAGAACAAGGGGAAUAAGAUUGUUAGUAUUCUGUGUUUUGGUUUUGUACAAGGCAUCUUUUCUGUUUAUUGUCGAUACUCUUAACUGAGCUUCUCUAAGUAUAGUGUCUGGAAAACCACAGUUUCUGAAAAAUGCACACAUGUCAUUUGUUUUAUUCAAAAAAUCACUAUCAUCACUGCAAAUGCGUCUCAGUCUUAGUAAUUGGGAGUCCUGAUAAUUGAUUUGUAAUCAGUUAUUCUAUCUUUUUAAGUACCUGAAAUAUCCUUUUCUCUUUUUUCUUUUUUCUUAUAUAUCUUAUAUUUUUUCAUAUAUAUAUAUAUAUAUAUAUAUAUAUAUAUAUAUAUAUAUAUAUAUAUAUAUAUAUAUAUGAACUGCAACUUAAUGUAAUAACUUUAAAAAUCAACAAAUGUGGUUUUCCCUUUUUUAAACUUCAGGCAAGGUAAAAUAACAAAACACAAACACUUUUUGAUCCCUUGUACAGGGAAGCAAUUGCUGCUUCCAGUAACUUAGCACUACCAGCUGAGAUUCAUUACAAUACAUAACUCAAAUAUUUAUUUAAAUAAAUAAACGCUGCUGAGCCUAAUAAUUAUCAGCUAGUGGGUCUGGUGAAAUAAUCUGCUUAGUAACCGAAAGACACGCCUCUCUGUUAUGUGAAGGAUUAAAAGAUUUUGAAAGUGUCCCAGGCUUACAGUAUAUAUGCUUUGCAUUGCCUUCUGGGAAGGCACAGGUGACCUGCUGUCUGAAGCCUUUGUACCCACAGUACCGCAGGGUGUGAUACCACUGGGAUGUUUAUGGCUUUUCUCACAUGAGGUGGCAGCUGCGUUUCAACGGUAUGACAGUCUGAGAGGCUGGCUGAUAGGGGACAACGGGUAUCCACUGAAGCGGUGCCUAUUGACACCACUGCUCAGCCCCACGACCCCUGCCGAACAGAGAAAACAAGAGGAAUAUAGGACUGCCGAAGCCCUUUGAGAACAUGCCCUGAAAGUAAAGUCUUGAGCUUGAGCUCAGACCAUGAAAUCGGCAAGCAAGGACAAGUGCAACCCAUGUAAUCCAUUCAUCCACUGGAAAAGGAGUACCUAAUGUGGUAAUGUGGCUGGUGCAAUUGUGUAUUUUACUGCAGACACAUAAGGAGUCCAGCAAUUGAUGAACAAACAUGGUUUUAUUUACAAUAUUUACAAACAAAGAAAACAAACUAGCACAGCAUGGCUAAACCAUUUGCCUGGUUUUAAGCAAGUAUUAUUCUCCGUACUUACUAACAGCUUUUGCACGCUCAACUCGCACCAGACUCACUCCAAUUUCACCUUCCCCGAGUGACAACAAAGAGUCUUUUAUACAUGAGCAAAUUACAAACAAUCACUUAAUCAACACUCAAUUAAGUAUUUUACACAUGGACAGCUUUUCUUAAGCAGUAUGCCCUAUACCAACCCCCCCCCCCCCCCCAGGCUUCUGGGAAAUAUAGUUUUCCGCAUUGUAGCCAUAACAUCUGUGGGAGAUCAACUGAACUACACGUUUCUAAACUUUACCGAGGAACGUAGCUCUCAGACUGACAUAUUUAUUUGAUAUCACUGUCCCACACUACACAUAUAGUAGUGUGCACAUAUAUUAGAACACCCCAUUGUUUCUGUAGUUUUGAUUUGUUGUGCAUAUGAAAUCAAACCACUAUAACUGUAACUGAAAAUCUUGGAAAAAUGUCAAAACUGUGACAGAGAGCGAAAGAAUUCGAGCUGUAAAUCUUUCUCCCGACCAGAUGGGCAGCUUCGACGGUAGGCAGAAACCGGAAGGUGACCAUAUUAGGGGGAGCGUGUAGUUGCACGUACACUGGAAGACUGCAUUGCAAAUCAACAACGGGGCACACAGCAAUUGGAGAAAUCAUGGUGCCAGGUUGAUUGCAGGGAGAAGUUUGGAAGUACAAAGGGGAAGCAGCUACGUCAGUACGGCCCUUGCGCUGAAAAUGUAACAUAUGGCUGAAGCUUUGUUUUGUUUUGUGUUACGUGUUGUUUUGAUGUAUUUUACAGAGGAGGAGGAAACAGAAGCUGCCGCCACAGAGCCAGCACUCACCCCUGAGCACAACCUUCACUGCACACCGACACGCACCACCAUCCCCGGGUUUUGAAGAGCACAGUUUCGUGCAUCAUGGAUUUGGAUUGUUAUUGCUGUGUGUUUAUUUGUUUGGGUUUGCAAGCCCACCGUGUUCCCCCUAAUACCAUCGUUGGUAGAGGGGCAGCCUUUUUGAGUUUAUUAUAAAUAAACACAGACAUUUU